CUCGUAGGCGGUUCAGUAAGUUGGGUGUGAAAGCUCCGGGCUCAACCCGGAGAGGCCACUCAAUACUGCUGUGACUAGAGUCCAGUAGAGGAGCGUGGAACUCCUGGUGUAGCGGUGAAAUGCGCAGAUAUCAGGAAGAACACCGGCAGCGAAGGCGGCGUUCUGGGCUGGUACUGACGCUGAGGAGCGAAAGCAUGGGUAGCAAACA
rnacentral:rRNA from 1 species